AAUCUUUUGUCUUUAAAACCAUGUCUAUUUCUUGGGAAAUUCCGAGGUUGCGUUUUUUUUUAUACACCCUGUAUUGUAUUCUUUUGCGAUGGACAAUGCAUUUUACAUAUCAAUGACCACAGACAAUGGAAAUCCACGAUUCUUACGACCAGUGUGAACCAGACAUUACUUAAUUAUACGAAAAUAAAAUGACCUCAAUCACCGUGAGUGUGCACAAAUUAACAAAAACUCAGAUAAAAACAUAACACAGUGACUUGUGUUUAGUUUCCAGACCAUCCUAUUUUGAUAGACUGUGCUUCGCCAAUGUCUCACGCAAAAAGGGCUAUAUAAACAUAGUGAUUUCUAAAAC